AAAGAUGCCCUCAGAGAAGGACGAAUUAAACUUCAACUGUCCAGACUCAGGACUGAGGACUCAGGCAUGUACACUUGUCAUGUGAAAACAGAUUAUGGAUCUGGCUCUGCCAGCAGUGAACUCGAGGUCACUAAAUCAUUUGUAGUGAAUGUGACACAGACCUUCUAUCGGGCAGAGGAGAACCAGAACAUCACACUGGAGUGGACGUUCACCACCACACCUUACAGCUCCUGGAGCUACCUUUUUAUUCAAUGUUUUCAAAUGACUGAUAGCGAAAUCUCAGACUUGUAUCAUUUCUAUGAUGGUGUUGAGUUAUCAGUGUCGAAAAAGUUUUCAGGACGAGUCCAGAGUGACAGAGAUGCCAUCAGAGAAGGACGAAUCAGACUUCAACUGUCCACACUCAGGACUAAUGACUCUGGUCUGUACAAGUGUACAGUGAGGGUAGAUAAGGGCUCUGGUUUUGCGGGUUGCAGACUCAGUGUUAUUCCCAUUGUUGAAAAUCCUCAAACUCCACAACCAUCUUUAAUUCCACCUCAAGAGAGUAAAGACAGGUCUGGUCGUGUUGGACUGGGAAUGGGAAUAUCCUCGUCUGCUUUGGUUGUUUGUGCUGCUCUUUGUUUUAUUUUGAGAAACAACAAAAAGAGAAAAAACCUGAUGUUAAAUGUCUCAGAGACACAACUGAUCUGCACUAACAUGAAACCUUCUAGAGGACAAACUUUCUAUCAAGAGUUAGUCGAACUUCAAAUAAAUACCUGAGUCACAAAAUCAAUCAAGACUUAUUCAAGUCCUAAACUAAGUUAUGAAAUAAAA
ensembl:lncRNA